rnacentral:lncRNA from 1 species
UUUUUUUUUUUUUUUGAGAUGGAGUUUUGCUCUUGUUGCCCAGGCUGGAGUGCAAUGGCGUGAUCUCGGCUCACUGCAACCUCUGCCUCCCAGGUUCAAGCGAUUCUCCUGCCUCAGCCUCCUAAGUAGCUGGGAUUACAGGCAUGCACCACCACACUUGGCUAAUUUUGUAUUUUUAGUAGAGACGGGGUUUCUCCAUGUUGGUCAGGCUGGUCUCGAACUCCCAAACUCAGGUGAUCUGCCUGCCUCGGCCUCCCAAAGUGUUGGGAUUACAGGUGUGAGUCACUGUGCCAGGCCCUGGAUGAGGUUUUCAAACAACACACUUUCCCCUAAUCUGAUGAGACCCAAUUGUCCUUAGUGUUAUGACACACACAGAGAUAAUGUGGAGCCUCCUUAACAUAGAUUAGGUUUCAUUUCACCCAGGCAAGUACAGUGCCAAAAAACGUUGUGGCGGAAAGGACAAAGUGCCAAGCAGAUUGAUCAAAUGACUCAUCCACUACAGAAGCACAGCUGAAUCAGCAACCGGGCCCUUAGCUGCCAGAGAAAACUGCAAAUGCUGCACCUCUAAAAUACAUGAUUCCAAAUAAAAGAUAACGACACCAGUAGUUCUGCUGAUUUAAAGGAAGCAAGAAAGAGAUAUGCAGGAUGCUCCUAAUUAAAUAUCAAAAAUAUAAAGGUAGGUGUCGUAUUUGACUAAAAAUUGACAUUUUUCAGGAAGGACUAUACCCCCAGGGCCCACCAUAGCCUUUGAGACCAUGGUGGAGUCUGUGUCCACAAUGGGUUCAACCACAGGCUCUGACAGUACCUCGACCUCUGAGAUCAUCACCGCCUCCACCGUGGACUCUGUGACCUCCAUAGGCUCAGAAGUCACCACAACUAUUGUUGCAGCCUCUGAGGUUACCACACCCUCCACCACAGCAUCUGUGCCACUGUAGCCUCUACUACCAGCUCUGAGAGCAGCACAGCCUCUAAGAUCGUCACGUCAUCUACAAUGUCUGUGUCAGCCACAGCCUCCAGCACAGCUCUGAGAUCACCAUGAGCUCUGCAACCAUCCCAGUCUCCUCCACAGCUUAUGAGACCAUCAGGCUCUCCACUGCAGUGUCUGAGCCAGUGACAGCCUCUAUCCCAGCCCUUGAGUCCUCCCUGGCCUUCACCACGGUCUCUAACACCACCACAUCUUCACAGUAACAUCUGUGCCCACCACAGCUUCUACCUCAGGCUGUAAGAACACAACAGCCUGUGAGGCCACCAUGUCUGAAACUACCAUUGCUGCCAUCACAGCCUCUGAGGACACCACAGUCUCCACUCAAACCUCCGUGAUAACUGCUGAGUCUGUGCCCCACACAGCCACCAAAACAC